rnacentral:rRNA from 1 species
GGCUUCGGGGGUUCACUCCCAACCCAUGUGAACGUUACCAAACUGUUGCCUCGGCGGGAUCUUCUGCCCCGGGUGCGUCGCAGCCCCGGACCAAGGCGCCCGCCGGAGGAAUCAACCAAAACUCUUAUUGUAUACCCCCUCGCGGGUUUUUUUAUAAUCUGAGCCUUCUCGGCGCCUCUCGUAGGCGUUUCGAAAAUGAAUCAAAACUUUCAACAACGGAUCUCUUGGUUCUGGCAUCGAUGAAGAACGCAGCGAAAUGCGAUAAGUAAUGUGAAUUGCAGAAUUCAGUGAAUCAUCGAAUCUUUGAACGCACAUUGCGCCCGCCAGUAUUCUGGCGGGCAUGCCUGUCCGAGCGUCAUUUCAACCCUCGAACCCCUCCGGGGGGUCGGCGUUGGGGAUCGGCCUUCCUUCACGGGGGCCGUCUCCGAAAUACAGUGGCGGUCUCGCCGCAGCCUCUCCUGCGCAGUAGUUUGCACACUCGCAUCGGGAGCGCGGCGCGUCCACAGCCGUUAAACACCCAACUUCUGAAAUGUUGACCUCGGAUCAGGUAGGAAUACCCGCUGAACUUAAGCAUAUCAAUAAGCGGGAGGAA